GUCGAGCGCGGUGUGAUGAGGGGUAACCCAAUUCACAUCUAGCGGCGAACGGGUGAGUAACACGUGAGCAACCUACCUUUGAGUUGGGGAUAGCCCUGGGAAACCAGGAUUAAUACCCGAUGUGGUCACAACAGGACAUCCUGAUGUGAGUAAAGGCGUAAGCCGCUCAAUGACGGGCUCGCGGCCUAUUAGCUUGUUGGUGGGGUAACGGCCUACCAAGGCGAUGAUGGGUAGCUGGUCUGAGAGGACGAUCAGCCACACUGGGACUGAGACACGGCCCAGACUCCUACGGGAGGCAGCAGUUAGGAAUUUUCCGCAAUGGGCGAAAGCCUGACGGAGCAACGCCGCGUGAGUGAUGAAGACCUUCGGGUUGUAAAGCUCUGUCGGAGGGGAAGAACACAAUGACGGUACCCUCCAAGAAAGCCCCGGCUAACUACGUGCCAGCAGCCGCGGUAAUACGUAGGGGGCGAGCGUUAUCCGGAUUUACUGGGCGUAAAGCGCGUUAAGGCGGCCGACAAAGUUGGUGGUGAAAUUUCAGGGCUCAACUCUGAAACUGCCUCCAAUACUGGUUGGCUUGAGUGCGAGAGAGGAAGGUGGAAUUCCCGGUGUAGUAGUGAAAUGCGUAGAUAUCGGGAGGAACACCAGUGGCGAA
rnacentral:rRNA from 1 species